UACGGAGGGUGCAAGCGUUAUCCGGAUUCACUGGGUUUAAAGGGUGCGUAGGUGGAGUGGUAAGUCAGUGGUGAAAUCUCCAAGCUUAACUUGGGAACUGCCGUUGAUACUAUCAUUCUUGAAUAUCGUGGAGGUAAGCGGAAUAUGUCAUGUAGCGGUGAAAUGCUUAGAUAUGACAUAAGAACACCGAUUGCGAAGGCAGCUUACUACACGAUCAUUGACACUGAGGCACGAAAGCGUGGGGAUCAAACAGG
rnacentral:rRNA from 1 species